rnacentral:lncRNA from 8 species
GCUGAAUAAAAAUGUUUUUAUAAUUAUUAGCAUAAUCCAAUAAUUCGUUCACACAGCCUCAGAAACAAUAAUCACUUGUGAUAGUGACAUGACAGGGCCCAUGUCAUGACAGGGCCCAUCUCCCCCUAAUAAACAACGUUUGAAAUAUGUCCUACCCUUUUGUGGCUUUGAGACACUGAAUAAUCACAGAGUGAAAUUUUAACCUCAAUGGUCCUGUGGUCAUAGACAGAAGUUUGCAUUGAGGUCAACUCACUGAAACCGUCCUGUUUCUACAAGAAACUACACAUUUUGUAAAUCUUUUUUUUUUUUUUACCAUAACCAACCUUAGUAGCAGGCAGCCUUAUAGAUUUCUGCAUUGUGAAUGUCUAUGUUUGGAGCAUAGAUAAUGUAAACAAGAUGGAGGCGUUUCUGACAGCCAACACUUCUUCAUAGGCAAUCGAUGACACCGGUAAAGGAGCAUACAAGAUCUGAGGAUCCCUACAAUGAUUCAUUGAAACUGGACAGACAGUUGUGCAGGCUUGGCAAGUACCCAGGAUUUAUUCAGAACAUGGAUGGAAGUAGAACAUUCGAUUAUCCAAGCUUUGUAAAAGACCUCAUUGAAAAUCUAUCAUGUACACCACAUUCACAAUUCAUUAUUACACUUGAAUAAUAGCAAUUAUGCAAACAGAACGUAAUUACAUGGUUUGCCCAAAACAUGAUGACAUUAACCAACAACCAAAGCACACAUCACAGCAGUUUCCAGGUGUCACAAGGACAUGGCUAAGAAGGAUGAAAUAAGCCUGUAUCAUCUGAGAACAUAGACAGAGAACCAAACAUUCCCUCUUAUCAGAGCCAAACUCUGUAGACCUGUAAUAUUGGACACCAAGUCCACUCACCUCUCUGGUCAACAUACUCAAGCAGUGCUACAUUGUCAGCAGGUUAAGGAGAACCUUCUGUUGCAUUUCUGCAGUUGCAGCAUCCCACAUUUCAAUACAUUAGUCUGCAUUCGUAUUCAGUGUUGGAGUAUUGUCCGACCCAGGAUAUCCAGGAACAUACAAUUCAUAAGUAUUAAAAACAGUCA